UCUUAGAUGACUGAGAUAAAUAAGUGUUAGAUUUUUAAUCUAAAGACGGCGGUAUCGCCUCUAAGAA
rnacentral:tRNA from 1 species